AUACAACCCAUGGAGGAUGACGUCAAGUGGUGAAGGAUGGUCGCAAUGGACUUGUGAAGAUAUGCUGAAGAGCGGCUCACCCAUAGUGUGUAUGGGGAGCAAUCAACUAGUCUUCAUCAAGCUAACGCAAUCAAGAAAGGUGGUCCAUCUUGAGGAAGCCAAGAUCAUCGUCAUCUAGCUCAAGAGGAGGAGGUGCAAGGUAUAGGUUUGCCCUUGAUAGGUUUUCUGUUUUAGGAUAGAUUGUCGUACUGUCAAGGGGGGCUCUCAAGUGAGUAGCUUGAU
rnacentral:lncRNA from 1 species